rnacentral:rRNA from 1 species
CCUAAGCCGAGGCCGAAAGGCGUAGGUGAUGGACAACUGGUUGAUAUUCCAGUACCACCAUAAUGCGUUUGACAAAUGGGAUGACGCAGGAGGAUAGGAUGUGCGCACUAUUGGAUGUGCGUCUAAGCACUUAGGGUGUUAAGUAGGCAAAUCCGCUUAACAUUAAGCCUGAGGUGUGAUGGGGAGCCUAUUUUGGCGAAGUAUCUGAUUCCACGCUGCCAAGAAAAGUCUCUAUGGAGCAAAAUGGUGCCCGUACCGCAAACCGACACAGGUAGAUGAGGAGAGAAUCCUAAGGUCGUCGGAAGAAUUAUUGCUAAGGAACUCGGCAAAUUGACCCCGUAACUUAGGGAGAAGGGGUGCCUACGAGAGUAGGCCGCAGUGAAUAGGCUCAAGCAACUGUUUAUCAAAAACACAGGUCUCUGCUAAAGCGUAAGCUGAUGUAUAGGGGCUGACGCCUGCCCGGUGCUGGAAGGUUAAGGGGAAUAGUUAGCGCAAGCGAAGCUAUGAACUUAAGCCCCAGUAAACGGCGGCCGUAACUAUAACGGUCCUAAGGUAGCGAAAUUCCUUGUCGGGUAAGUUCCGACCCGCACGAAUGGCGUAAUGAUUUGAGCACUGUCUCGGCAAUAAAUCCGGUGAAAUUGUAGUGCAAGUGAAGAUGCUUGCUACCCGCGGUUGGACGGAAAGACCCCGUAGAGCUUUACUGUAGCUUAGCAUUGAAUUUCGGUAUUGUCUGUACAGGAUAGGUGGGAGACUUAGAAGCGAGGGCGUCAGCUUUCGUGGAGUCGUCCUUGGGAUACCACCCUGACAGUACUGGAAUUCUAACUGGAGGCCAUGAAUCUGGUCACAGGACAUUGCUAGGUGGGCAGUUUGACUGGGGCGG